rnacentral:misc_RNA from 1 species
AACAUCGCGCACCUGCGGGAACCUGCGGAAGGAUCAUUACAAGAAGGGGUGCUGACGGCUCUCUCGGGCGCCGUCAGUCCGCUCUCUACCUUGCCUACUGCACCGUUUGUUGCUUCCUGGCGGCGGCCCCUUGCCGCCAGGAACCCAAUCAAAUCCUGUAUAAGCAUUGACAAACUGAACAAAACCUAAAUCGUACAACUUUUAACAAUGGAUCU